ACACAAAAAACUUUCCUAGUCCCAACUUUCACAUUUACUUGUGUGGAGCUGGGUGAAAAGCCAGUAAGAAUCAUCGGAGUCAAGGUUCACCCUAGUCAGAGAAAAGAUCAGAUUCUACUGGACUUGAAUGUCAGCUACGUGGGGGACCUACAGAUUGAUGUGGAAGUUAAAAAAUACUUCUGCAAAGCCGGAGUCAAGACUCUUCUGAAAGUUAAUGUGGCGGUGAGUCUAGUAG
rnacentral:sRNA from 1 species